CCUACGGGGAGCAGCAGUGGGGAAUAUUGGACAAUGGGGGGAACCCUGACCCAGCAACGCCGCGUGAAUGAUGAAGGUCUUCGGAUUGUAAAGUUCUUUUCUAAGGGAAGAAGAAAGUGACGGUACCUGACUAAGAAGCCCCGGCUAACUACGUGCCAGCAGCCGCGGUAAUACGUAGGGGGCAAGCGUUAUCCGGAUUUACUGGGUGUAAAGGGAGCGUAGACGGCGAUGCAAGUCUGAAGUGAAAGGCGGGGGCUCAACCCCCGGACUGCUUUGGAAACUGUAUGGCUGGAGUGCAGGAGAGGUAAGUGGAAUUCCUAGUGUAGCGGUGAAAUGCGUAGAUAUUAGGAGGAACACCAGUGGCGAAGGCGGCUUACUGGACUGUAACUGACGUUGAGGCUCGAAAGCGUGGGGAGCAAACAGGAUUAGAUACCCGGGUAGUC
rnacentral:rRNA from 1 species